UGCAAAAGGUGUUGUCCAUGUUGUCAUCCAUCUCACAGCAAGCAAGCGAAGCAGAGUCACAUAAAUUGAUGUAUUAUAUAUAAAUCCGUCAAUCCCCAUGCAUCCAUUACAAUUCCCACAUUAACAAACACAACAACCAUAAAUAUACAUAAUGUCCUAUAAAUUUAAGGUUCCAUUCCAUUGAUUUAGCCUAAAAAACUCAUCAUCACCAAAAACCAAGAAAACAUGAGCCCUGUUUUCUCAAAACAACAACAACAAAAUGUCAUCCUCCUCUUCCUCUGUUUCUCAUUUCUCCCCUUUCUUUCACUCUCCGCCAUAGACACCUUCGUCUUCGGCGGCUGCACUCAACUCCACUACUCCCCAAACUCCGCCUACGAGUCAAAUCUCAACUCGCUACUCACUUCCCUGGUCAACUCAGCCACAUACUCCUCCUACAACAACUACACCAUCCAAGGGUCUUCCCCACAGGACGCCCUGUACGGCCUCUACCAGUGCCGUGGCGACCUCUCCAUGCCGGACUGCGCCACCUGCAUCGCCCGCGCCGUCACCCAACUAGGGGGGCUGUGCUCCGAUUCCUGCGGGGGGGCGUUGCAGCUGGAGGGGUGUUAUGUGAAGUACGACAAUUCGAGCUUUCUUGGGGUGGAGGAGAAGACGGUGGUGCUGAAGAAGUGCGGGCCGUCGGUGGGGUAUGAAGAGGAGGCGAUGGGGCGGAGGGAUGCGGUGCUGGCGGCGUUGGCGGGGGCGAGUGGGUUGUAUAGAGUGGGUGGGGCGGGGAAAGUGCAAGGAGUGGCGCAGUGUGUGGGGGAUUUGAGUGGGAGUGAGUGUCAGGAUUGUGUGGGGGAGGCGAUCGGACGGCUGAAAAGUGAUUGUGGGACGGCGGAUUCUGGGGAUAUGUUUCUGGGAAAGUGUUAUGCGAGGUAUAACACUCAUGGGCCUCCUGUCUUCUCCAAGGCCCAUCAUGGUAAGCCAUUUUUCACCACUACUACUGCAAUUUCAUUGAUAAAUCUAAUGGUGAUGGUGAGAAGACAUUUGCGAUUAUCAUUGGGCUUCUAGCUGGAGUUGCUCUUGUUAUCAUUUUUCAUGUCUUUAUAAGAAAGGUGUUUGAAGGAUCUGGUAAAUAAUAAUAAAACAGCAAAUGGAAAAGCUUUUUAUAAAUUCAACCUCUAAAGGGAACUUAAGACAUCAUUAGUUGAGAAUGAGUUCUCAUCCUUAGGGGAUCCUAAGGCAUCAUUGAUAGAGAAGGAGUUAUCAAACUUACAGGGAGUCUAAGUUUAUCAAGUGAAGUGGUCUUCAUUUGAGAGUAGAAAGAUAAAGCAUCGAAGAGAAGGUGUCUCACACUUAGGAGAACCUAAGUGAUUCAUUAUUAAUAUUCACAUAUACUUAGGAGGUGCCUAAGUUUAUUUAGAAGAAAUCUCACAUCUAGGGGGAGCCUAGAUCAUCGACAUAUAAGGUUAGGCUAUACGUAUGUUACAACAAUUGUCAUGAUUUAACAGAUAUUUAUAACAUUAUAAAUACUUGACUUUUUAUAUUAAUGAAUCUAUCUUUUUCAA